rnacentral:rRNA from 1 species
UACGAAGGGGGCUAGCGUUGCUCGGAAUUACUGGGCGUAAAGCGCACGUAGGCGGCUUGUUAAGUCAGGGGUGAAAUCCUGGAGCUCAACUCCAGAACUGCCUUUGAUACUGGCGAGCUUGAGUUCGGGAGAGGUGAGUGGAACUGCGAGUGUAGAGGUGAAAUUCGUAGAUAUUCGCAAGAACACCAGUGGCGAAGGCGACUUCCUGGCCUGUUCUUGACGCUGAGGCGCGAAAAGCUAGGGUAGCAAACGGGGAUUAAGAAACCCCCGGU